UUUAACACACAUUUGAAAGGUACGAGCAAAAAUUGUUAUCAUCCAACUGUCGCAGAACGGCAGCGUUAUUAGCUGACCCGUUAACUGAAGAAUAUAUCUUGAGUCAAAGGCUGAUCGAACGGCCUAGCCGCUUAAAUCAGCUAGAAAAAUAACCUAGCCGAAUUCCUCAGUCUGGAAACAACCGCGCAGUAGAGCGGGCGUAUGAAAAUCGCGCUCUGCAGAUUUUGAGUGCCGGGUUCUCUACCUCCUGGAUCCUGCGCUCCGGGUCCGCUUCCUCGUGCACCUGGAGUUCCAGGACGAGCGCUCCGUAGUUUCGGCGCUCCAGGUCCGCUACCUGGCGAAACUCGACUUCUAGGACAAAUGCUCCGUGGUUGCUGCGCUCCAGGUCCGCUACCAGGUGACACUCGACUUCAGGGACAAGAGGUGGAUAAGGAGGAGAAGAACGACGAAAACGAGGAGAUCAAGGUGGACUAGGAAAACGACGAUUUCUGCACGGUAUAAACCGAGGUGAUUGUCGGUGGUUAUGGGAGGUGGUUGGCGGUGGUUGGCGGUGGUUGGAGGUGGUCGGAGGUGGACGAGGAGAAAGACGAGGAAGAUGAGGAGAACAAGGUGAACCAGGAGGACGAGGAUUU